rnacentral:rRNA from 1 species
GAUGAACGCUAGCUAUAGGCUUAACACAUGCAAGUCGAGGGGAAACGGCAUUAUGUGCUUGCACAUUUUGGACGUCGACCGGCGCACGGGUGAGUAUCGCGUAUCCAACCUGCCCUUUACUUGGGGAUACCCCGUUGAAAGACGGCCUAAUACCCGAUGUAAUUCAUUGAUGGCAUCAGAUAUGAAUAAAAGAUUUAUCGGUAAAGGAUGGGGAUGCGUCUGAUUAGCUUGUUGGUGAGGUAACGGCUCACCAAGGCGACGAUCAGUAGGGGUUCUGAGAGGAAGGUCCCCCACAUUGGAACUGAGACACGGUCCAAACUCCUACGGGAGGCAGCAGUGAGGAAGAUUGGUCAAUGGGCGCAAGCCUGAACCAGCCAAGUAGCGUGCAGGAAGACGGCCCUGUGGGUUGUAAACUGCUUUUAUACGAGAAUAAUUUGAUGCACGUGUGCGUUAUUGCAUGUAUCGUAUGAAUAAGGACCGGCUAAUUCCGUG